rnacentral:rRNA from 1 species
AACGCUGGCGGCAGGCCUAACACAUGCAAGUCGAGCGGUAGAGAGAAGCUUGCUUCUCUUGAGAGCGGCGGACGGGUGAGUAAUGCCUAGGAAUCUGCCUGGUAGUGGGGGAUAACGUUCGGAAACGGACGCUAAUACCGCAUACGUCCUACGGGAGAAAGCAGGGGACCUUCGGGCCUUGCGCUAUCAGAUGAGCCUAGGUCGGAUUAGCUAGUUGGUGGGGUAAUGGCUCACCAAGGCGACGAUCCGUAACUGGUCUGAGAGGAUGAUCAGUCACACUGGAACUGAGACACGGUCCAGACUCCUACGGGAGGCAGCAGUGGGGAAUAUUGGACAAUGGGCGAAAGCCUGAUCCAGCCAUGCCGCGUGUGUGAAGAAGGUCUUCGGAUUGUAAAGCACUUUAAGUUGGGAGGAAGGGCAGUUACCUAAUACGUAUCUGUUUGACGUACCGACAGAUAGAC